rnacentral:pre_miRNA from 1 species
AGGAGGAACAGCCCUAGUGGCCGCCGCCAGCUCUGGAGCCCUGGAUUAAGCUCCCACAGUAGCUCCAGAGCUCUCUGUCUGCAGGGCCUGGAGGCUUCGGGGAGGG